rnacentral:RNase_P_RNA from 1 species
CAAGCAAGCUGGACAGCCGCGCGGACGGGGCGAAAGGCCCGCCUGUGAGGAAAGUCCGGGCUCCACAGGGCAAGGAUAACGGGUAACACCCGCCGGGGGCGACCCCAGGAAAAGUGCAACAGAGAUAUACCGCCUCUCCCCAUAUUGGGGCCCCCGCACGAGCCCAGCGAAAGCGGGUCGUGUGGGGAGAGGAGGAGCAGCGCAGUGACCGCAUUUUGCCGCUUGCAGCAAAAUAAGGGAUACGAAGCUUGCGACGACGAGGUAAGGGUGGAAAGGCGAGGUAAGAGCUCACCCAAUGGCGUGUGAAAGCGUCCAUUGCUGUAAACUCUAUCCGGAGCAACGCCGUGGUGGGACAUAUGGUCGGCCCGACCGUCCCAGGGAGGCGGCUUGAGCGUAUCGGCAACGGUGCGUCGAGAUAGAUGGCUGUCUUAAAUGACAGAACCCGGCUUACAGGCUUACUUGCAAC